ACACUGACGUCGCGACGCAUAUCAAUAAGCGGAGGAAAAGAAACUAACAUAGGAUUCCCUCAGUAACGGCGAGUGAAGCGGGAAGAGCUCAAAUUUGAAAUCUUCAAGGUUCUACCUUGACGAAUUGUAGUUUAAAGAAGUGUUUUUCGGUUAGAGAGUUUAGUAAAAGUUCUUUGGAAUAGGACAUCAUAGAGGGUGAGAAUCCCGUAUUUGGUCAUUCCUUCUAGCUUUGUGAUACACUUUCAAAGAGUCGGAUUGUUUGGGAAUGCAGUCCAAAAUGGGUGGUAAAUUUCAUCUAAAGCUAAAUAUUGGCGAGAGGACCGAUAGCGAACAAGUACCGUGAGGGAAAGAUGAAAAGAACUUUGAAAAGAGAGUUAAACAGUACGUGAAAUUGUCAAAAGGGAAGCGUUUCGACACCAGUGUUGUUUUUCCGAAAAUCAAUUACUAAAUGGCUUUGAUUUUGAGGAGUUGUAUUGACCUUAUCAGGCUUUCCUUCUACUUUUUCCAAGUAACUUUCUGUAAUGCACUUUUCGGUUAACAAGUCAACAUCAAUUUCUUUUGUUGUAAAAGAGUAUUCGGAAGGUGGCUUUCUUUUCGGAGAAAGUGUUUAUAGCCCUAUACUUCUACAAUCGGAGAGAUUGAGGUCUGCAGCGUAGAUCCUUCGGGGUUAGAUACACUUUGUGCUAAGUUAUAGCUUUUCAUAGACAACUUGUUGACUAUGUUUAGUCUUAGUAGCUUACUCGCUUGUGCUAUUUUACCUACGCUUAGGAUGUUGAGUCGUAGAGCACGCAG
rnacentral:rRNA from 1 species